rnacentral:rRNA from 1 species
ACGAACGCUGGCGGCGUGCUUCACCCAUGCAAGUCGAGCGGUAAGGCUCCUUCGGGAGUACACGAGCGGCGAACGGGUGAGUAACACGUGAGUAAUCUGCCCUUCACUUCGGGAUAACCACCGGAAACGGUGGCUAAUACCGAAUACGACCAGUCUUCGCAUGAGGUGCUGGUGGAAAGUCUUUUCGGUGAAGGAUGUGCUCGCGGCCUAUCAGCUUGUUGGUGGGGUAAUGGCCUACCAAGGCUUCGACGGGUAGCCGGCCUGAGAGGGUGACCGGCCACACUGGGACUGAGACACGGCCCAGACUCCUACGGGAGGCAGCAGUGGGGAAUAUUGGACAAUGGGCGAAAGCCUGAUCCAGCAACGCCGCGUGAGGGAUGACGGCCUUCGGGUUGUAAACCUCUUUCAGUACCGACGAAGCGCCCUGUCGGGUGGUGACGGUAGGUACAGAAGAAGGACCGGCCAACUACGUG